UUCAUAAUGAAAAGCUGGAUUUAUGUUUAGGUUAAAAAAGCCUAAAAAUGUUUGUUAGAGUAAUUGUGGUGACAGCAGUGUACCAACCUCAGAAGCUACUGAGGUGCCCAUUCUGUCACAGUACAGCC
ensembl:snoRNA Gm22480 small nucleolar RNA SNORA66